AUCAGCUUGCACUUUAAAAUGUUGUGCUUUUUUAUUUUAGUUGGGAAUCUAUUUAUAUUCUUGUUAAUGGGAAGAUAUUAGGGACUUUUGUUACAAACACACCAGUGCUGUGUGUUAAGGGCUCGAAGCAGGGGCAGGGAGAUAAAGGGAAGGUGAGAAACAGAAAACACGGACAAAAAGAGCCAAGAAUUAUAAGAUGGCUGAUAAUGUUACAGAAAGUUCAAAAAAUAAGGAAAAUAAUAGAUGGAUAAGUAAAUAACAACAUAGGUUCUAUUGUUCUAUUGAGCAUUUUGAUUAUGUAGCUUUUUAAGUUACUUACGUUAGCCUAAAAAUUAUAAGGAACUACAGUUCAUAUGCAUUUUUUUCUAUACCCAGAUAAACCAUAUUCACGAGAAUUCUGAUUGGCCAUGGAUAUAUCUGGUCCUAGAACAAGAGGAAGUCUUGUUAAGCAUUCCCCAGAGAGAAGAGGUCUUUCCAGGGCUACUAAUGCUCUCUCCUGCAGGGUAAAGUGCCUUCUCAACUGGAUGCCCACGCAAUGACAUUGCUUCCCUGUGGCUCUUGGUUCAGAAAAUUGAGGAGGGCCUGAGAGACUGAACACAAGCAAAAAGCAAGAUCAACUAAGUGCCGUCGCCUUCCUUUUAAGUUGGUGAAUAAAAACCUUGAAUUCUUUUUGGUAUUCUUGUUUGAUUUGAGGUUUCCCCCCAGUAUCUGAAAGUAAAGCGUUCCUAUGAAACCUUUGGACAAUAAGACAGAAGCAAGAUAAAAGAAACUUGCCAACUGAUAUUGGUCUCCAAUUUCUACUAAACAGAAUAGUGAAGGAGGAACAGGAGCCCAAUGUGUAUUCACAGGUGAAAUCUUAUUUUAUAGAAGUGCUGACUCAUUCACCUUUCUCUUAACUACCAGUCAUCACAUUGAAGACACCAAAGAGCCGUCAUGAGCCUUAACUGAGAAAGUGCCAUAACAAGGUGAAAUACUGCAAGGGCCAGUCCAAGCAUCACUUCCGAGCUGUCACAAAGCAUUCCCUUGCUCGCCUUGCCCAGGGCCAUGAAGCAUUUCGACCAGACCCGCAGGACUGAACACCACAGCAGAGAACUGACCACGGCGCCUCAGGUUGGGAUGUUCUUUCUCACAGGAAUGGCCAACCCGCGGUGUACAGAGCAGCUUUUCUUCAGUGUAAUGACUGAAGAUCAGCAGUUGGAUGGCCAAGUGCUAUAGAAGUAGGGGUGCUGGUUUUGACAGGCAAGGAAACAGAAGAGCAAAGGAAAGUGUGCAGCAGGCAGCUGAACUCCCUCACUAGGACCCAGGCCAGCAGGCAUGGCCUGCAUGGGCAUGAAGGCCCAGAUUGGCUCAGAGACUAGCCAUGUAAAGCACCAAGGUCUAAAAAUAGAUCUCCCUGCUCUGAUAAAACGGGCCUCUUCAUCACGUACCCAUCACACUGACUAACCUGCCUGGUCCCAGACUAUUCCUCUAGGGUCAUUUUCGAGGUGCUCUACGAAUCCCCAUGGUCAAC